AUUGAACGCUGGCGGAAUGCUUUACACAUGCAAGUCGAACGGCAGCACGGACUUCGGUCUGGUGGCGAGUGGCGAACGGGUGAGUAAUAUAUCGGAACGUGCCCAGUCGUGGGGGAUAACGUAGUGAAAAUUACGCUAAUACCGCAUACGAUCUAAGGAUGAAAGCGGGGGAUCGCAAGACCUCGCGCGAUUGGAGCGGCCGAUAUCAGAUUAGGUAGUUGGUGAGGUAAAGGCUCACCAAGCCAACGAUCUGUAGCUGGUCUGAGAGGACGACCAGCCACACUGGAACUGAGACACGGUCCAGACUCCUACGGGAGGCAGCAGUGGGGAAUUUUGGACAAUGGACGCAAGUCUGAUCCAGCCAUUCCGCGUGCAGGACGAAGGCCUUCGGUUGUAAACUGCUUUGUACAGAACGAAAAGGUCUCUAUUAAUACUAGGGCGUCAUGACGGUACUGUAAGAAUAAGCACCGGCUAACUACGU
rnacentral:rRNA from 1 species